rnacentral:tRNA from 1 species
UAGAGAGAUAGGACUUGAACCUAUAAUUGAGAGAUCAAAACUCUCUGUAA